AUUUGAGUAGCUAAAAUUUAGAGCGUAAUAUUGAAGAUAUUGAGGUAGUGAGAACUCUCAAAUA
rnacentral:tRNA from 1 species